rnacentral:lncRNA from 1 species
GGGUGGUCACUCGCGUAGCGCGACGGCUAAGGGGGUACCCCUCGCGCUACGCGACGGUGUCAAAAUUUCAGUAUAAAUAGCAGGGGUUGGGACUUGAAUUUUGGCACUUGAACGACGAAAAUCGGAGUUACGUAGGUCGAGUUAUAAGCAAAACAGUCCAACACACACACACAAUUAUCGAAUCACUGCCGCAAAACAGGGUAAUUAGUCGAUCGCUAUUACGAUUCAGUUUCCGGGAUCAAUAUACCCAAAGAAUGUCUAAGUGCUGCCCACAUUGGGCUAUGCUUUAUCGUUGUCGAUAAUUCGAUAAUGAGCCGAAGCAUUGUACUUUGUCGUUGUCGAUAAUUCGAUAUACGAGUUGAAGUACUAUACUUUGUCGUUUGUCAUUUUGAUAAAUGAGCUGAAGUAUUGCACUUGGACAUUCAUUGUAAAAAUUGAUCUCGGGGAAUUAUCGUAACUGCUGUAUUGAUCAUUAACCUGGUUCUUGUAAAAUUCGUUAAGAGUUGAUUUAGGUUUUCACCAAUACGUAUUCCAUUCUGUUAAACUACCAAGAAUACUCCCAACUACACCCUUACAAUCAAACAAACUAUAAAAUCAUCAGAAGAUCCAGAAUAAUAAAGUGCAUGCUUAAUUAUCGGAAGAAGUAGAAUCAGGAAGUUUGUUAAUUCAAUCCUGCAUGCUGAUUGUAAUUACAAUAGAUUGGAGCAAGGAUUGGAUCCGACACUAAAGGACUUCAAGAAGUGGCUUAUUUUAUUAAUUAAAUCAAUUAAGAAAUAUUGUUUUUAUUAAAAGCUACCUUUGUAAAACAUGGAAUUUAUUCCAUCUUUUUAAAUAAAAUCCGGUGUUUCUAAACUCUGAUAUUUUUCCUAACUCACGGUCCUGAUGAAAUUUCCGCUGCAAUGUUUUUCAAAAUAAUCACCGGUACCACUGGACUGCUCACGGCACCGAUUCCGGCUAGAUGGGGUCGGGGGUCGU